CCCUUAGACGUUCUGGGCCGCACGCGCGCUACACUGACCGGUGCAACAAGCAUCCGUCCUUGGCCGACAGGCCCGGGCAAUCUUUGAACGCUGGUCGUGAUGGGGAUAGACUUUUGCAAUUUUUGGUCUUCAACGAGGAAUUCCUAGUAAACGCAAGUCAUCAACUUGCAUUGAUUACGUCCCUGCCCUUUGUACACACCGCCCGUCGCACCUACCGAUUGAAUGGUCCGGUGAAGCCUCCGGAUUGGCGCGCACCUCGGUGCCGCCGAGAAGUUGGCUAAACCUUACCAUUUAGAGGAAGGUGAANUCGUANCA
rnacentral:rRNA from 1 species